AUGUGGUUUAAUUCGAAGCAACGCGAAGAACCUUACCAGGUCUUGACAUCCUUUGACCACCCUAGAGAUAGGGCUUUCCCCUUCGGGGGACAAAGUGACAGGUGGUGCAUGGUUGUCGUCAGCUCGUGUCGUGAGGUGUUGGGUUAAGUCCCGCAACGAGCGCAACCCUUGAUCUUAGUUGCCAGCAUUCAGUUGGGCACUCUAAGGUGACUGCCGGUGACAAACCGGAGGAAGGUGGGGAUGACGUCAAAUCAUCAUGCCCCUUAUGACCUGGGCUACACACGUGCUACAAUGGAUGGUACAAAGGGCUGCAAAACCGCGAGGUUGAGCGAAUCCCAUAAAGCCAUUCUCAGUUCGGAUUGUAGGCUGCAACUCGCCUACAUGAAGCCGGAAUUGCUAGUAAUCGCGGAUCAGCAUGCCGCGGUGAAUACGUUCCCGGGCCUUGUACACACCGCCCGUCACACCACGAGAGUUUGUAACACCCGAAGUCGGUGAGGUAACCUUUUGGAGCCAGCCGCCUAAGGUGGGACAG
rnacentral:rRNA from 1 species